rnacentral:lncRNA from 1 species
GUCGAGGGUGGGUCCUCUCUGCCAGCUCCAGGUUCAGCUGCUGUCUCAGGGUUAGGCUCCAGCUCAACCCCUGGGGCUGCUCCCUGGCUUUCUGAGAAGAUGCCGUCAGGCAGAUUCCAUCUCAUAACGUUUCCUGGAGGAAAACGUUCCGACAAUGAGCGUUCCAACAAUGAAGGGAUCUGUCUCUGAUCCUGGGGCCUGCUCAUGAGGAAACUGAGCCUACCCAUGGCAACUGAGAGACAAAGAGGGACCACGGGACGGUGCUCUAACUCACCCAAAGAAAGCACAGAGAUGGGCACAAAGGUAACAACACGCAACACUGAGGGAUGCAGACCUGAGGGCCCCAUCCCUCAGCAUCCAAUCCCAGUGCUUCCCCUUCCGGUGAAGACCUCCUGCUGAACAGAUGAGGAACAGACCAGAGACUUGCCCUACUCCAGUGGGAUGCAAGCCCAUGCCCACACUGCCAGGGAGUGGACUGUCAACAACCCAAGGCCAGGUAUGCAGCCUCAGCAAGGACAUCAGCUCCGCUUUGGACACAGCAGUCUCAGCCUUGCCUUGAGGGUCAUGCAAUUUGAGGACAUGCCCUCAGGAGCCUAGUCUGAGGAGACACCCUUCUGGGGCCUGAUCUAAGAGAAAUCAGUUUUGAUGGCCUCGUGGCCAUGGAAGGAACCCUUCAACCUCCACCACCUCCCUGGAUUUCCCAACUGCUCCACAAUGUGCAUGGGGCAAGAACUGUUACGACGCUGCAAAU